rnacentral:rRNA from 1 species
ACGCUGGCGGCGUGCCUAAUACAUGCAAGUCGAGCGGACCAAAGGGAGCUUGCUCCUGGAGGUUAGCGGCGAACGGGUGAGUAACACGUGGGCAACCUGCCUGUAAGACUGGGAUAACAUCGAGAAAUCGGUGCUAAUACCGGAUAAUAAAAAGAACUGCAUGGUUCUUUUUUGAAAGAUGGUUUCGGCUAUCACUUACAGAUGGGCCCGCGGCGCAUUAGCUAGUUGGUGGGGUAACGGCUCACCAAGGCGACGAUGCGUAGCCGACCUGAGAGGGUGAUCGGCCACACUGGGACUGAGACACGGCCCAGACUCCUACGGGAGGCAGCAGUAGGGAAUCUUCCGCAAUGGACGAAAGUCUGACGGAGCAACGCCGCGUGAGUGAUGGAGGUUUUCGGAUCGUAAAACUCUGUUGUUAGGGAAGAACAAGUGCCGUUCGAAAGGGCGGCACCUUGACGGUACCUAACGAGAAAGCCACGGCUAACUACGUG